AUGAACGCUGGCGGCGUGCCUAAUACAUGCAAGUCGAGCGAACAGACGAGGAGCUUGCUCCUCUGACGUUAGCGGCGGACGGGUGAGUAACACGUGGAUAACCUACCUAUAAGACUGAGAUAACUUCGGGAAACCGGAGCUAAUACCGGAUAAUAUAUUGAACCGCAUGGUUCAAUAGUGAAAGACGGUUUUGCUGUCACUUAUAGAUGGAUCCGCGCCGCAUUAGCUAGUUGGUAAGGUAACGGCUUACCAAGGCAACGAUGCGUAGCCGACCUGAGAGGGUGAUCGGCCACACUGGAACUGAGACACGGUCCAGACUCCUACGGGAGGCAGCAGUAGGGAAUCUUCCGCAAUGGGCGAAAGCCUGACGGAGCAACGCCGCGUGAGUGAUGAAGGUCUUCGGAUCGUAAAACUCUGUUAUUAGGGAAGAACAAAUGUGUAAGUAACUAUGCACGUCUUGACGGUACCUAAUCAGAAAGCCACGGCUAACUACGUG
rnacentral:rRNA from 1 species